rnacentral:rRNA from 1 species
CAAGUUUUUAAGGGCGCACGGUGGAUGCCUUGGCACCAGGAACCGAUGAAGGACGUGGGAGGCCACGAUAGGCCCCGGGGAGUCGUCAACCAGGCUUUGAUCCGGGGGUGUCCGAAUGGGGAAACCCGGCAGUCGUCAUGGGCUGUCACCCUUGCCUGAACACAUAGGGCAAGUGGAGGGAACGCGGGGAAGUGAAACAUCUCAGUACCCGCAGGAAGAGAAAACAACCGUGAUUCCGGGAGUAGUGGCGAGCGAAACCGGAUGAGGCCAAACCGUAUGCGUGUGAGACCCGGCAGGGGUUGCGCAUACGGGGUUGUGGGAUCUCUCUUUCAUGGUCUGCCGGCCAUGAGACGAGUCAGAAACCGUUGAUGUAGGCGAAGGACAUGCGAAAGGUCCGGCGUAGAGGGUAAGACCCCCGUAGUCGAAACGUCAGCGGCUCGUUUGAGAGACACCCAAGUAGCACGGGGCCCGAGAAAUCCCGUGUGAAUCUGGCGGGACCACCCGCUAAGCCUAAAUAUUCCCUGGUGACCGAUAGCGGAUAGUACCGUGAGGGAAUGGUGAAAAGUACCGCGGGAGCGGAGUGAAAUAGUACCUGAAACCGUGUGCCUACAAGCCGUGGGAGCGUCGCGUUGAGUGCUUGCACUCAACGUCGUGACUGCGUGCCUUUUGAAGAAUGAGCCUGCGAGUUUGCGGUGUGUUGCGAGGUUAACCCGGGUGGGGAAGCCGUAGCGAAAGCGAGUCCGAACAGGGCGGUUCAGUAGCAUGCUCAAGACCCGAAGCGGAGUGAUCUAGCCAUGGGCAGGUUGAAGCGGAGGUAAGACUUCGUGGAGGACCGAACCCACCAGGGUUGAAAACCUGGGGGAUGACCUGUGGUUAGGGGUGAAAGGCCAAUCAAACUCCGUGAUAGCUGGUUCUCCCCGAAAUGCAUUUAGGUGCAGCGUCGUGUGUUUCUUGCCGGAGGUAGAGCACUGGAUAGGCGAUGGGCCCUACCGGGUUACUGACCUUAGCCAAACUCCGAAUGCCGGUAAGUGAGAGCGCGGCAGUGAGACUGUGGGGGAUAAGCUCCAUGGUCGAGAGGGAAACAGCCCAGAGCAUCGACUAAGGCCCCUAAGCGUACGCUAAGUGGGAAAGGAUGUGGAGUCGCACAGACAACCAGGAGGUUGGCUUAGAAGCAGCCACCCUUGAAAGAGUGCGUAAUAGCUCACUGGUCUAGUGAUUCCGCGCCGACAAUGUAGCGGGGCUCAAGCGUACCGCCGAAGUCGUGUCAUUGCAGCAGAUAGCCCCAACGGGUGCUGUGAUGGGUAGGGGAGCGUCGUCUGCCGGGUGAAGCAGCCGCGGAAGCGAGUUGUGGACGGUUGACGAGUGAGAAUGCAGGCAUGAGUAGCGAUUCACACGUGAGAAACGUGUGCGCCGAUUGACUAAGGGUUCCUGGGUCAAGCUGAUCUGCCCAGGGUAAGUCGGGACCUAAGGCGAGGCCGACAGGCGUAGUCGAUGGAUAACCGGUUGAUAUUCCGGUACCCGCUGUGAAGCGUCAAACAUCGAAUCCAGUGAUGCUAAGCCCGUGAAGCCGCCGGCUGAGUCUUCGGACGAGGUCGGAGUGGUGGAGCCGGUGACCCGAGCUGGUAGUAGGUGAGUGAUGGGGUGACGCAGGAAGGUAGUCCAUCCCGGGCGGUGGUUGUCCCGGGGUAAGGGUGUAGGACGUCAGGUAGGCAAAUCCGCCUGGCACAUAGUCUGAGACCUGAUGCCGAGCCGAUUGUGGUGAAGUGGAUGAUCCUAUGCUGUCGAGAAAAGCCUCUAGCGAGUUUCAUGGCGGCCCGUACCCUAAACCGACUCAGGUGGUCAGGUAGAGAAUACCGAGGCGUUCGGGUGAACUAUGGUUAAGGAACUCGGCAAAAUGCCCCCGUAACUUCGGGAGAAGGGGGGCCACAUCCGGUGAUCCGAUUUACUCGGUGAGCUGGGGGUGGCCGCAGAGACCAGCGAGAAGCGACUGUUUACUAAAAACACAGGUCCGUGCGAAGCCGUAAGGCGAUGUAUACGGACUGACGCCUGCCCGGUGCUGGAACGUUAAGGGGACCGGUUAGCUUGGAUUCGUCCAGGCGAAGCUGAGAACUUAAGCGCCAGUAAACGGCGGUGGUAACUAUAACCAUCCUAAGGUAGCGAAAUUCCUUGUCGGGUAAGUUCCGACCUGCACGAAUGGCGUAACGACUUCUCGACUGUCUCAACCAUAGGCCCGGUGAAAUUGCACUACGAGUAAAGAUGCUCGUUUCGCGCAGCAGGACGGAAAGACCCCGGGACCUUUACUACAGUUUGAUAUUGGUGUUCGGUUCGGCUUGUGUAGGAUAGCUGGGAGACUGUGAAGCUCGGACGCCAGUUCGGGUGGAGUCGUCGUUGAAAUACCAGUCUGGUCGUGCUGGAUGUCUAACCUGGGUCCGUGAUCCGGAUCAGGGACAGUGUCUGAUGGGUAGUUUAACUGGGGCGGUUGCCUCCUAAAGGGUAACGGAGGCGCCCAAAGGUUCCCUCAGCCUGGUUGGCAAUCAGGUGUUGAGUGUAAGUGCACAAGGGAGCUUGACUGUGAGACCGACGGGUCGAGCAGGGACGAAAGUCGGGACUAGUGAUCCGGCGGUGGCUUGUGGAAGCGCCGUCGCUCAACGGAUAAAAGGUACCCCGGGGAUAACAGGCUGAUCUUCCCCAAGAGUCCAUAUCGACGGGAUGGUUUGGCACCUCGAUGUCGGCUCGUCGCAUCCUGGGGCUGGAGUCGGUCCCAAGGGUUGGGCUGUUCGCCCAUUAAAGCGGUACGCGAGCUGGGUUUAGAACGUCGUGAGACAGUUCGGUCCCUAUCCGCUGUGCGCGUAGGAGUCUUGAGAAGGGCUGUCCCUAGUACGAGAGGACCGGGACGGACGAACCUCUGGUGUGCCAGUUGUUCUGCCAAGGGCAUGGCUGGUUGGCUACGUUCGGGAGGGAUAACCGCUGAAAGCAUCUAAGCGGGAAGCCUGCUUCGAGAUGAGGACUCCCACCUCCUAGAGAGGGUAAGGCUCCCAGUAGACGACUGGGUUGAUAGGCCGGAUAUGGAAGCACGGUAACGUGUGGAGUUGACCGGUACUAAUAGGCCGAGGGCUUGUCC